UUAAGCGACUAAGCGUACACGGUGGAUGCCCUGGCAGUCAGAGGCGAUGAAGGACGUGCUAAUCUGCGAAAAGCGUCGGUAAGGUGAUAUGAACCGUUACAGCCGGCGAUGUCCGAAUGGGGAAACCCAGUGCAAUUCGUUGCACUAUCGUUAACUGAAUACAUAGGUUAACGAGGCGAACCGGGGGAACUGAAACAUCUAAGUACCCCGAGGAAAAGAAAUCAACCGAGAUUCCCCCAGUAGCGGCGAGCGAACGGGGAGCAGCCCAGAGUCUGAAUCAGCUUGUGUGUUAGUGGAACGGUCUGGAAAGUCCGACGGUACAGGGUGAUAGUCCCGUACACCAAAAUGCACAGGCUGUGAACUCGAAGAGUAGGGCGGGACACGUGGUAUCCUGUCUGAAUAUGGGGGGACCAUCCUCCAAGGCUAAAUACUCCUGACUGACCGAUAGUGAACCAGUACCGUGAGGGAAAGGCGAAAAGAACCCCGGCGAGGGGAGUGAAAAAGAACCUGAAACCGUGUACGUACAAGCAGUGGGAGCACCUUCGGGUGUGACUGCGUACCUUUUGUAUAAUGGGUCAGCGACUUAUAUUCUGUAGCAAGGUUAACCGUAUAGGGGAGCCGCAGGGAAACCGAGUCUUAACUGGGCGUUAAGUUGCAGGGUAUAGACCCGAAACCCGGUGAUCUAGCCAUGGGCAGGUUGAAGGUUGGGUAACACUAACUGGAGGACCGAACCGACUAAUGUUGAAAAAUUAGCGGAUGACUUGUGGCUGGGGGUGAAAGGCCAAUCAAACCGGGAGAUAGCUGGUUCUCCCCGAAAGCUAUUUAGGUAGCGCCUCGUGAACUCAUCUUCGGGGGUAGAGCACUGUUUCGGCUAGGGGGUCAUCCCGACUUACCAACCCGAUGCAAACUACGAAUACCGAAGAAUGUUAUCACGGGAGACACACGGCGGGUGCUAACGUCCGUCGUGAAGAGGGAAACAACCCAGACCGCCAGCUAAGGUCCCAAAGUCAUGGUUAAGUGGGAAACGAUGUGGGAAGGCACAGACAGCCAGGAUGUUGGCUUAGAAGCAGCCAUCAUUUAAAGAAAGCGUAAUAGCUCACUGGUCGAGUCGGCCUGCGCGGAAGAUGUAACGGGGCUAAACCAUGCACCGAAGCUGCGGCAGCGACACUAUGUGUUGUUGGGUAGGGGAGCGUUCUGUAAGCCUGCGAAGGUGACCUGUGAGGGUUGCUGGAGGUAUCAGAAGUGCGAAUGCUGACAUAAGUAACGAUAAAGCGGGUGAAAAGCCCGCUCGCCGGAAGACCAAGGGUUCCUGUCCAACGUUAAUCGGGGCAGGGUGAGUCGACCCCUAAGGCGAGGCCGAAAGGCGUAGUCGAUGGGAAACAGGUUAAUAUUCCUGUACUUGGUGUUACUGCGAAGGGGGGACGGAGAAGGCUAUGUUAGCCGGGCGACGGUUGUCCCGGUUUAAGCAUGUAGGCUGAUUAUCCAGGCAAAUCCGGAUAAUCAAGGCUGAGGUGUGAUGACGAGGCACUACGGUGCUGAAGUAACAAAUGCCCUGCUUCCAGGAAAAGCCUCUAAGCAUCAGGUAACAUCAAAUCGUACCCCAAACCGACACAGGUGGUCAGGUAGAGAAUACCAAGGCGCUUGAGAGAACUCGGGUGAAGGAACUAGGCAAAAUGGUGCCGUAACUUCGGGAGAAGGCACGCUGGUGUGUAGGUGAAGUCCCUGCGGAUGGAGCUGAGACCAGUCGAAGAUACCAGCUGGCUGCAACUGUUUAUUAAAAACACAGCACUGUGCAAACACGAAAGUGGACGUAUACGGUGUGACGCCUGCCCGGUGCCGGAAGGUUAAUUGAUGGGGUUAUCCGUAAGGAGAAGCUCUUGAUCGAAGCCCCGGUAAACGGCGGCCGUAACUAUAACGGUCCUAAGGUAGCGAAAUUCCUUGUCGGGUAAGUUCCGACCUGCACGAAUGGCGUAAUGAUGGCCAGGCUGUCUCCACCCGAGACUCAGUGAAAUUGAACUCGCUGUGAAGAUGCAGUGUACCCGCGGCAAGACGGAAAGACCCCGUGAACCUUUACUAUAGCUUGACACUGAACAUUGAGCCUUGAUGUGUAGGAUAGGUGGGAGGCUUUGAAGCGUGGACGCCAGUCUGCGUGGAGCCAACCUUGAAAUACCACCCUUUAAUGUUUGAUGUUCUAACGUUGGCCCCUUACCGGGGUUGCGGACAGUGUCUGGUGGGUAGUUUGACUGGGGCGGUCUCCUCCCAAAGCGUAACGGAGGAGCACGAAGGUUAGCUAAUCCUGGUCGGACAUCAGGAGGUUAGUGCAAUGGCAUAAGCUAGCUUGACUGCGAGCGUGACGGCGCGAGCAGGUGCGAAAGCAGGUCAUAGUGAUCCGGUGGUUCUGAAUGGAAGGGCCAUCGCUCAACGGAUAAAAGGUACUCCGGGGAUAACAGGCUGAUACCGCCCAAGAGUUCAUAUCGACGGCGGUGUUUGGCACCUCGAUGUCGGCUCAUCACAUCCUGGGGCUGAAGUAGGUCCCAAGGGUAUGGCUGUUCGCCAUUUAAAGUGGUACGCGAGCUGGGUUUAGAACGUCGUGAGACAGUUCGGUCCCUAUCUGCCGUGGGCGCUGGAGAAUUGAGGGGGGCUGCUCCUAGUACGAGAGGACCGGAGUGGACGCAUCACUGGUGUUCGGGUUGUCAUGCCAAUGGCACUGCCCGGUAGCUAAAUGCGGAAGAGAUAAGUGCUGAAAGCAUCUAAGCACGAAACUUGCCCCGAGAUGAGUUCUCCCUGAGACUUUAAGUCUCCUGAAGGAACGUUAAAGACGAUGACGUUGAUAGGCCGGGUGUGUAAGCGCAGCGAUGCGUUGAGCUAACCGGUACUAAUGAACCGUGAGGCUUAACCUU
rnacentral:rRNA from 1 species